GGCGGGGUAGCUCAGUCGGUAGAGCGGGGGUCUCAUAAGCCCUGUGUCGACGGUUCAAAUCCGUCCCUCGCCA
rnacentral:tRNA from 1 species